CGUCCGGCAUGUAAUUUUGGCGCUGAAGAGGGUGAGGGAAUCUCGGGACGACAUCCCAGUUAUUGCUCUUGACAUCUGGGAUGCGUCGGAGUGUUUGCGCGCUGUGAAAGCAACACCUGGGGGGACGCCGCUGCACAAGGCAAGCUGAUGAGGCGCUAGUUCAGACAAGCGCGGGAGCAGCCGGGGACACACAUCUCCCAAAUGAAUAAUAAAGUGUGUCAAAGCUGACCUAUGCGGUCUCUUAAUUUAGAUGUUCCGCUAUUUGACACAGUGCACCCCAACCGCCACCAAACCUCACUUUCCACUCUAUCGGUCUCCCCCAUAACACAGGAAAGGAAUUCUCUAAUGUAGGUUUACUAAGGCAAAGAGGAACUCCAGGAGUUUCGCUUCGCGGGUCAUCUGUGGCUUUCUCUUAUGUUCUCAAACAUCUGGCGACCGGUGAAAAGCGAUUCGCACAGGAAUUAACUGUUCUGUUUCAUCAGUAACUGAUGCACCUGUAAGUUUACGUGCCCCCUUACCUAUUGCCCUUAGCUGUCGCUGCACCACACUCAACGCACGGAUGAAAAAGCCUUUGAACUGGGAGUGCAAUUCAGACAAGCUGCGGUGUGGUUGGAUUCGCCUGGUAGUUUAUUUUACACUCUGUAUCUGCUUCAGUAAGCCUUAAAAAGGCGAAGCCACCCGAUGACCAGCCCAGGGACUUCACCUCGUCCUUGAGACCAGCACAACACACCAGAAAUAAAGCAUCCGACCCUCCUUACCCCCCUAACGUCGCAGCGGUCAUCCUUCUUUGAGAGACGCCGAGAACGAAACCAGCGAGAAUCGGUAAGUGCUCAAACCCCGACUCAACUUUAAAUUAUAGAGGUGUAUUGUAUUCGCUCUCUUUUUUUCUUGCUCACGAGCGGGUACAGUGUGUGGGCACAACAACAACGGGUGCUAGUGCAGGCUGGCUGUUGCUCGCGUGACUCCGUAUAUUCAUUUCUCGCUGCCAGACCGCGGGAUCAGAGAUAUUAGACUGAGAUAGCCGACCUCUCUCCGUGCUCCCGACCUGCUCUCCUCCUCCUCAACCUGCAAUUGCGCCGUCUCCUCUGUUCCGUUUCUCCACUCCCAAUAUCCAUCUGGGAUUAUAAAGCCGUGCUCUCCAAUCAUCGGCAGCCGCUACCAGUCCACUCCCUUAGAGCACCCCUGGCAGCCCCAGCCCGUAAACAGUGUUGCUGUUCCUACCUGUCGUUCAGGAUCCCCCAAACAGUACAGUAUUUCCGUGGACCGAGAAGGCGAUCUGAAAAAAGAGGAUGGCGGCUGCACACGCUGCAUGGUGUCUGGAUGUGCAGUUGCAAAGACAGAGAUAAAGUGAGGUGAAUUUGGGAGACAGACAAGUAUACAGACACACAGAGAAAAGCACACUUCAAAUUACAUCCAAACUUGCGUAAGGGAUAGUUGAACACUAUGAAGGCUAGGCUACAUAUGUUUACUCGUUUAUUUAUUAAUGCUAACGGAUGGUCUGCAAGUGCAGCCACGUUUAUAGCAUUUUUUUUUUAGCAGAUACCCUCAUAGCCACCAUCACAACUGCCACUUAUUUAGAAUUA
ensembl:lncRNA